GCUAGCAGCAUUCAAACCAAUCCUGAAAACCUUUGAUUGCUUUGCUUUGAGUAAAGUAUAACCAAAUACCUCAGAGGAAGUUUGAGAAGGAGCGCUCGACGAGAAUAUAACUUUAACAUCUUUAAUCAUUCACAAACAAGGAAAGGCAUCAUUCAGCCCACAAUCCUUUACCCCACAAUGGCUAGUCAUGGUACUAAAAGAAAGUUUAGUAAUGAACAAUCUGGUUCAAGUGCAAAGUGUCCUGAAAGCAGUUCGCAGGACCUCAGAACAGGCAAGUAUAUUCUUCCUCUCUGUAGAAUAGAACCAGUUUAAUUGUAUAUAAAAAUGUAUAAGAUAACUACAGCAAAACAGCAUAUUAAU